rnacentral:rRNA from 1 species
AGAGUUUGAUCCUGGCUCAGGAUGAACGCUGGCGGCAUGCCUAAUACAUGCAAGUCGAACGAGGAUCCUUGUGGAUCCUAGUGGCGAACGGGUGAGUAACACGUAGGGAACCUGCCCGCGCACCGGGAAUACGCUCUGGAAACGGAGAACAAAUCCCGAUGUACAGGAAGGAGGCAUCUUCUUUCUGUGAAACAUCCUGUAAGGGAUGGGGCGCGGAUGGACCUGCGGUGCAUUAGUUGGUUGGCGAGGGUAAAGGCCCACCAAGACGAUGAUGCAUAGCCGGCCUGAGAGGGCGGACGGCCACGUUGGGACUGAGACACGGCCCAGACUCCUGCGGGAGGCAGCAGUAGGGAAUUUUCGUCAAUGGGCGCAAGCCUGAACGAGCGAUGCCGCGUGAGUGAAGAAGGCCUUCGGGUCGUAAAGCUCUGUUGCGGGGGAAAAAAGGCAUCUGCAGGAAAUGGUAGAUGACAGAUGGUGCCCCGCCAGAAAGUCACGGCUAACUACGUGCCAGCAGCCGCGGUAAUACGUAGGUGGCGAGCGUUAUCCGGAAUGAUUGGGCGUAAAGGGUGCGCAGGCGGUCCUGCAAGUCUGGAGUGAAACGUAUGAGCUCAACUCAUGCAUGGCUCUGGAAACUGGAGGACUGGAGAGCAGGAGAGGGCGGUGGAACUCCAUGUGUAGCGGUAAAAUGCGUAGAUAUAUGGAAGAACACCAGUGGCGAAGGCGGCCGCCUGGCCUGUUGCUGACGCUGAGGCACGAAAGCGUGGG